CUACGGGAGGCUGCAGUGGGGAAUAUUGCACAAUGGGCGCAAGCCUGAUGCAGCCAUGCCGCGUGUAUGAAGAAGGCCUUCGGGUUGUAAAGUACUUUCAGCGGGGAGGAAGGGAGUAAAGUUAAUACCUUUGCUCAUUGACGUUACCCGCAGAAGAAGCACCGGCUAACUCCGUGCCAGCAGCCGCGGUAAUACGGAGGGUGCAAGCGUUAAUCGGAAUUACUGGGCGUGAAAGCGCACGCAGGCGGUUUGUUAAGUCAGAUGUGAAAUCCCCGGGCUCAACCUGGGAACUGCAUCUGAUACUGGCAAGCUUGAGUCUCGUAGAGGGGGGUAGAAUUCCAGGUGUAGCGGUGAAAUGCGUAGAGAUCUGGAGGAAUACCGGUGGCGAAGGCGGCCCCCUGGGCGAAGACUGACGCUCAGGUGCGAAAGCGUGGGGAGCAAACAGGAUUAGAUACCCCUGUAGUC
rnacentral:rRNA from 1 species